AGGAGAUGGAGUUGGUGGUACUACAAAUUAAGGAGUCAGAGUUGGUGGUACCAUAAAUUGAGGAGUAGGAGUCAGAGGUACUAUGAAUUGAGGAGGAGGAGUCAGAGGUACUAUGAAUUGAGGAGUAGGAGUUGAAGUUGGUGGUACUAUACUGUAAAUUGAGGACUCUGAGUCAGUGGUAUCAUAAAUUGAGGAGUUACAGUUUGUGGUAUUAAAAAUUGAGGAGUCAGAGUGGGAGUCGGUGGUACCAUAAAUUGAGGACCUUGAGUCAGAGUCAUUGUCCUAGGUUUUGUGUACCGACUCCACAGCCUUGUUUUAAAGCUUCACUAAAUUUAUAGGCAUAAGCUGUUGAGCACCUUCUCAAUUGGCCCACUGCAACUGUGAUGUGAACAUUUUAUUUCCAAGCUUCUCACUGUUAGCAACGUAUCCCUCAGCUUCA